GUCUGGCUGGUUCAGUGGGUAGAGUGCGUGAUUCUUGACCUCAGGAUUGUGAGUUCGAGUCCCACGUUGGGCA
rnacentral:tRNA from 1 species